AGUGAACGCUGGCGGUAGGCCUAACACAUGCAAGUCGAACGGCAGCACAGUAAGAGCUUGCUCUUACGGGUGGCGAGUGGCGGACGGGUGAGGAAUACAUCGGAAUCUACUUUUUCGUGGGGGAUAACGUAGGGAAACUUACGCUAAUACCGCAUACGACCUACGGGUGAAAGCAGGGGAUCUUCGGACCUUGCGCGAUUGAAUGAGCCGAGGUCGGAUUGGCUAGUGGGCGGGGUAAAGGCCCACCAAGGCGACGAUCCGUAGCUGGUCCGAGAGGAUGAUCAGCCACACUGGAACUGAGACGCGGGGCAGACUCCUACGGGAGGCAGCAGUGGGGAAUAUUGGACAAUGGGCGCAAGCCUGAUCCAGCCAUACCGCGUGGGUGAAGAAGGCCUUCGGGUUGUAAAGCCCUUUUGUUGGGAAAGAAAAGCAGCAGGUUAAUACCCCGCUGUUCUGACGGUACCCAAAGAAUAAGCACCGGCUAACUUCGUG
rnacentral:rRNA from 1 species